UAUGAAUUUGACUUCCUGUCAGUCCUU
rnacentral:piRNA from 1 species